rnacentral:rRNA from 1 species
UACGUAGGGUGCGAGCGUUAAUCGGAAUUACUGGGCGUAAAGCGUGCGUAGGUGGUUCGUUGUGUCUGUGGUGAAAGCCCCGGGCUUAACCUGGGAAUGGCCAUGGAAACUGGCGAGCUGGAGUGUGGCAGAGGGGGGUGGAAUUCCGCGUGUAGCAGUGAAAUGCGUAGAGAUGCGGAGGAACACCGAUGGCGAAGGUAGCCCCCUGGGCUAACACUGACGCUGAGGCACGAAAGCGUGGGGAGCAAACAGG